rnacentral:rRNA from 1 species
CGUGUAGGCGGCCGAUUAAGUCUGGAGUGAAAGUCCUGCUUUCAAGGUGGGAACUGCUUUGGAGACUGGUUGGCUUGAGUGCGGAAGAGGUAAGUGGAAUUCCCAGUGUAGCGGUGAAAUGCGUAGAGAUUGGGAGGAACACCAGUGGCGAAGGCGACUUACUGGGCCGUAACUGACGCUGAGGCGCGAAAGCGUGGGGAGCGAACAG